UGGGGAAUAUUGGACACUGGGGGGAACCCUGAUCCAGCCAUGCCGCGUGUGUGAAGAAGGCCUUAUGGUUGUAAAGCACCUUAAGCGAGGAGGAGGGUACUGGUAUUAAUACUACCAGCUACUGGACGUUACUCGCAGAAUAAGCACCGGCUAACUCUGUGCCAGCAGCCGCGGUAAUACAGAGGGUGCGAGCGUUAAUCGGAUUUACUGGGCGUAAAGCGUGCGUAGGCGGCUAAUUGAGUCGGAUGUGAAAUCCCCGAGCUUAACUUGGGAAUUGCAUUCGAUACUGGUUAGCUAGAGUGUGGGAGAGGAUGGUAGAAUUCCAGGUGUAGCCGUGAAAUGCGUAGAGAUCUGGAGGAAUACCGAUGGCGAAGGCAGCCAUCUGGCCUAACACUGACGCUGAGGUACGAAAGCAUGGGGAGCAAACAGG
rnacentral:rRNA from 1 species